CUCCUGGAACCGUCCGUGGCCGAAUGACAGCGAGAGAUCAGCCGAGGCACGCUUCCGCUUCAAGCACCGCCCAAUCCACCGUGGCCCCACCUCCAAGGAGGCACACCUCAAUACGUGAUUGGACCUGCCAGCCGUCUUCUUGGUGUAAAGCAGCAAGUUGUUUGAAUUCCUAUCCUGGCUUUGGCUGAUGACUGAGAUGUUGUCUGCAGAUCUUCGAAGCUUAGAUCGUCAGCAUAAUGCUGCCACCACUAUGCUUCACAAAUGGACCAGUAUUUUGCUCCAUCCUUCUUCACAUCAACCUUGAACACCUUCUCUGUCAUUGCAGAAGAAAAGCAUCCUCACAGCAUGAUGCUGCCACCACCAUGCUUCACCAUGAGGGGUCUGGGUGACAAUCAUUGUUAGUUUUCCAUCACACAUAU